AUUGAACGCUGGCGGAAUGCUUUACACAUGCAAGUCGAGCGGGGUGAUGGUGCUUGCACUAUCACUUAGCGGCGGACGGGUGAGUAAUGCUUAGGAAUCUGCCUAUUAGUGGGGGACAACAUCUCGAAAGGGAUGCUAAUACCGCAUACGUCCUACGGGAGAAAGCAGGGGAUCACUUGUGACCUUGCGCUAAUAGAUGAGCCUAAGUCGGAUUAGCUAGUUGGUGGGGUAAAGGCCUACCAAGGCGACGAUCUGUAGCGGGUCUGAGAGGAUGAGCCGCCACACUGGGACUGAGACACGGCCCAGACUCCUAGGGGAGGCAGCAGUGGGGAAUAUUGGACAAUGGGGGGAACCCUGAUCCAGCCAUGCCGCGUGUGUGAAGAAGGCCUUAUGGUUGUAAAGCACUUUAAGCGAGGAGGAGGCUCUUUUGGUUAAUACCCAAGAUGAGUGGACGUUACUCGCAGAAUAAGCACCGGCUAACUCUGUGCCAGCCGCCGCCGUAA
rnacentral:rRNA from 1 species